rnacentral:lncRNA from 1 species
UGCUAAGUCUGCAGACAGCCGUGGCCUGCUACCUUCCUUGGCUAGUUGGGUGUGGCUUAUAUGUGUGACUUUGAUGUCUUGUGUCUGAGUGCCUGGAAUUCUUGCCAUGUUUACCUGUUGCUUGUGUGUGCUCCUUUGGUCUGUUAGCACACUUGCCAGUGUGUUCCUUUUACAAAUGAGAGCCUGAACAUGCAAGCUCCUGAGUGAAUGCAUUGCUCUGGAGGGUUGGCCUCUCUAUUUCCCCAGGAGUUGGUUAUGUUUGUCUUUGCAUGUCUUUCCCAUCUUCUUUUUUUUUUGUUUUGUUUUGUUUUGUUUUUGUUUUUUUUUUUUUUGUUUUUGUUUUUUGUUUUUUUUGAGACAGGGUUUCUCUGUAUAGCCCUGACUGUCCUGGAACUCACUGUGUAGACCAGGCUGGCCUUGAACUCAGAAAUCCGCCUGCCUCUGCCUCCCGAGUGCUGGGAUUAAAGGCGUGCGCCACCACGCCUGGCUAUGUCUUUCCCAUCUUACAAGUUAAGCCCUCCAUGUGCUCUAAGCAAUUUUCAUUUUUGAGACAGCAUUUUAAUAUGUAGUUCAUACUGGCCUUAAACCCUUGUGCUGUGAUAAAGGCUUGGCCUUAUUUAUGUAACUUAUUAAUUACACAUCAAUGUCAAAACUUUCUCACCACAAGAAACUUUCCUUGAUGCUUAUUACUGUUGUGAGGCUUCAAACUCAGUAUAAAUGCUACACGUGUAAGCAUUAUACAUCUUGUCAUCUAAGCUCAGACUCUUGUCAGACUGCUUUUGUUCGUUGAAUGGUUAGUAGCAUUUUAAAAAUCGGUUCAGUAGCACUUAACUUAGUGUGUGUUUAUGUGUGUUCUUAUUUUUAUGUAUUGUUGGGAAUUGAACAUAAAGCCUUACGCAUGCUAAGUACAUGCUGUAUUACCAUUCCCCAACCCCCACCCUCAGGUUAGUUGAAGUUUUUUUUUGAUUCAAAGUAAUAAGUCUCCAAAAUUAUAAUGUAUAAGAAGGACACAACUUUUACCCUUUUUUUUCCUGCAAAAGCUUUGCAUGUUUUCUUAACUGUGGCUGACUUGAUUUAUGCUUAUAAGUAGGUAGAUGGCCCUCCAGUGAAUGGAGUUGGCUUUCUCUUGCAUGUUAGCAGUGCAGGCUGAUUGUCAUAUUCAAAGAGUAAAGAGAAAUAAUAGCAUGAGAGUUGUCUAAAUGCCCUUCCGUAAUACCCUCCAUAACCAAGGGCUUCACUCCGAAGAAAAGAAUCUGCUGUUUGGCCUAACUGGCUACCAUAAGAGAAAUAUUCAUGUACAGUAGCACAUCUUCCUAAACACCAUAGAACUCUGUGGAGCUUACAUUCCCUGGAAGGAUAGCUGAUGUUGAGCUUGUGGGUAAAUAACUCCCACCUCAAGGUCCAAAGCAAGGUACUGUUGGUUCUUGAAGAGGUGAGGUUAUUGAGAAAGAACAUUGACCCUAGAAACACAGGAAGAGCAUUUUAAGAGUAGUAUUUGUAUGUGCUCUUGAAAGACUUGUUUAACAGAGACACUUGAUUCCUGAGCCUUUAAAUUUUUUAAUUAUAUCGUCCUAUAACACUUGAUUAUUUCAGGACCGUGGUUGGUAGCUCUUGGUUUAAGCACCUCAGCUGUGAGGAUUAGAAGACCUUUUUGCCUGCUGAUGUUUGCUAACAGUUGUAGUGAAACUAGGGACCCUUAGCUUGGAAUGAUAUCUUUGUGACCAUAUGUGAGCAUAUGACAGU